CCAUGGAUGUGAACGCGAUAACACCACUCUGAUUGAAAUCCAAUUCAAAUGGAAAAAUCGAACCAUAAAACUAAGUGGAACCGAGUCCAAAAAUGUUCCCUGAAUACGAAUUCAACAAUCACUUCUGCAAACGUGAUUUCACGCCUUCAAACGAACUUCGUAAUUGCUCUCCGUGAACAUGAUUCUCCUCUGCAAUCAUCUCCACACUUGCAUUGUGUUUUGAUUUACCGUGACUUAGGUUUGAUGCGUUCGGUUCGAUUCGAGAUUGAAAUGUGAAAUCAAUGGAAAACAGUGGAUGCUUUGCAGAUAAAUUAAGCUCGAAUCACUUACCGAAUCGACUUGACAGAAAUCAUGGUGAAAUCAAGCUAAGAAAUAGCUUCAAAUUGUAUAGUUGAUUCGGUUGCGGAGUGAAGCUCUUGCAGAGUUGCAGAAUCGAUCUCAUGUUGCAGAAGUUGCAGAAUCGAUUUUCUGUUGCAGAAGUUACAGAAUCGAUUCUUGUUGCCGAAUGAGGAUUGGAAGAUCGAAUUUGAAGAGUGAAGAGGGUUGAAGAAUUAACUUGGAGAGUGAAGAGGACGUGAAAACUGCCAAAAAAAGUUUUUUUUUUUUUCUGUUUGUAGUGAUAUUUGCUAUUUAGGAUUCAACUCUUUUCGCUCUUUCUGUUAGCUUCUCCUCUCCAUUAUGUUAGAGCUUUUUUGAUGUUGUUGGAGGUGGUUACAAGUUGUUGAAAAACGGUUAGAGGUUUUGAAGGUUAGUUAGAGUUGGUUGGUGAGGUUUGUGGAGAGGGUGUUUUAUUCUAUUAGUGAAGUUGAGUUAGUUAGCCUGAUUAUCAGCAUGAGAAGAGUUUGUUAAAUUGAUUUGUGUGUUUGUUAGUAAUGUGGUUUAAACUUCCAUUCACUUUUGUUAUCAGUUAGUUACUUUCUUACAUCAUGACUUAUUGGUGGUGUGCAGGGAUUGGUUCUUAUUCCGGUUCUGUUAGCGGUAGCCGUCAUCCAAUGGUUGCAGAAUUGGAGAGGUUCCAAUUCUGGAAGAUUGGUUCAAUUCCGAUGUUCUCCCGAGUCAUGUCCGAAAGAGCUUUUUUUCUUAUCUUCUUUUCUGGCCGUUCUUUUUGCUCAGUUGUAAAUUCGCUAUGGACUUUAGCAUUCAAUUCUGUUGUGGAUUUCUCGUUUUGAGGCUGGGAGUUGGGUUCAAAGUUGUUGUGGAAGAAUCCCCAAAUAAUUAUGCUAUCGGUUGGCCAUAUUGUUGCAGUUCCAGGUUCUUGACUUAGGACUGCGUCCUGAUUUUGUCUGUUCAACACUUGAGGAUGUUGUCCAUAGUUUGGCAUUUGCCAAAGUGAAGUUAGCAUCUGGCUAUUUAAUUGCAAUCCAUUUGUCGACACAAAACUAGGAGCUUCAUAGUUGUUUGUUACUUGAGCUCCAUCUAAAGGGCAACAUUUCUUUUUGUCUUGCAUCCAGAGGGUUUCUAGGUAUGGGAUUCCCCACACGUAUAACAAUACCACUAUCCCUAUAGACUUGCUUCUAGAGUUGGUUGCCUACAUCUUGCGAUGGGUGAUUUUAACUAAUCCCUUAGAAGAAGUCUGGGUUAUUUUCACCAAAAAGAGCAAGCACACUUGGAUCAAUAUUUUCAGCAAAAUUGCCAAGGUGCUCAUUAUUUUUGCAGUCUUGAAGGUAUCAUCAAGUGAGAAGCCUGUUGUGCCAUAACGCUGUUAAAGCUAGAGCUGGCUUGAAACUGUUGAGAUCUCUGCUCAAUCAUUGGAAAAUAUGUCUCAUAGAAGAUAUACCACCAUUCAUGCAGAAAUCCAUAUGGAGAAUCAAGCUCUAAAUCCAAACACUCAGGGUAAGUAGGAGUUUGCGGAACGGUGGUUUUGUUCAUGAAAAUUGAAGCAGUUCUAUACAUUCCCUUUUCGAUAAGAUAGUCAUGCAAAAAGUACCUAAACAUUGGAUGAACAUCUAAAGAAUCGUUAUUAUUUGAGUCCAUGAAGAGAACGGUAUCGAUGAAUGCACAUAAUGUCAGCUAAUUUUCGCUACUGAGUGAGAAAAAGAUUGAGAUGAAAAGGGAUUGAAAUUGAUUUGAAAAAAGAAGAAGAAAUUAAGAGUGAUAGUGCCAUGCAAAUAGGAACAAAAAUUGGGUUUAGGGGUUAUGGAAAAAAGUUGACCAAAUGUCAACCUUUGUAAAAAAUUGCAUUUUUUUCUUUUUCUUUUAUAAUGGACAAUGUAAGUGUUGUAUGAAUGAAUGAACGAUACUUUAUUUGAAUAUAAUGAUCUUUAAAUCAACGCAAAAAUA